rnacentral:rRNA from 1 species
AUUGAACGCUGGCGGCAUGAUUUACACAUGCAAGUCGAACGGUAACAGGCCGCAAGGUGCUGACGAGUGGCGAACGGGUGAGUAAUGCAUCGGAACGUGCCCAGUCGUGGGGGAUAACUACUCGAAAGAGUAGCUAAUACCGCAUACGAUCUAUGGAUGAAAGCGGGGGACCGUAAGGCCUCGCGCGAUUGGAGCGGCCGAUGUCAGAUUAGGUAGUUGGUGGGGUAAAGGCUCACCAAGCCAACGAUCUGUAGCUGGUCUGAGAGGACGACCAGCCACACUAGGACUGAGACACGGCCCAGACUCCUACGGGAGGCAGCAGUGGGGAAUUUUGGACAAUGGGCGCAAGCCUGAUCCAGCAAUGCCGCGUGCAGGAAGAAGGCCUUCGGGUUGUAAACUGCUUUUGUACGGAACGAAACGGCUCUGGUUAAUACCCGGGGCUAAUGACGGUACCGUAAGAAUAAGCACCGGCUAACUACGUG